UGGAAGAAAUGGCGGACAUGGAUGAAUUGUUUGGGAGUGAUGGAGACAGCGACAAUGAUCAGCGAGAGUCUGGCUCUGUCUCCGGUUCAGACUCGGAGCAGGAGAGACCCCGGUCUGCCAGCAACGCCUCCGGCAGCGGCAGUGACAGUGAUCGACAACGAGACGAUGAUGAUGAAGAUGAAGGCCAGGAGGCAGGGAAGCCCAGUAUAAAUAAGGAACUGUUUGGAGACGACAGCGAGGACGAACAACAUAGUCAACAUAGUCAACAUAGUCAACACAGUCAACACAGUCAACACAGUCAACACAGUGGCAGCGAAAACCAGUCGGAGCGUUCAGGGAAUCAGUCGGAUGCCAGCAUGCACUCAGACCAGGGCGACAACGAUCACUCUGACGCAGAACAGCACAGCGGCUCAGAGCGCGGCCAUCGUGAAGAGGAUGAAGACGAGGAAGACGGGGGCCACCGGUCUGAUGGUGGGAGCCCAGCUGGCAGUGGGAUGUCUGGAGCGGGGAGCCCUCGCUCUGAGAGGAGCCCUCGCUCUGAGAGGGGCAGUGUCCACUCAGACAGAAGUGUGCACAGUGAUCCUGCGACUCCACAGUCGGGCCCCGGCACCCCUCACUCUGAGGGAGAAGCUUCUGGCAGGGAGAACCAGUCAGAUGAUGAGAAAUGGGAAGGGGGCGCUAAGAGCGACCAGUCAGAGGAUGAGGAGGAGAAACGACAUUACUCAGAUGAAGAAAGAGAGAACUCUGAUGACGAGGGACCGAGGAACAGAAAGUCAGAGUCUGUAAAGGGCAGUGACAGCGAAGACGAUUUCCUCAGAGUGAAACCCAAAGCAAAAAUUGCCUCUGACUCAGAUUCUGACAGUGAUAUUGGACGAAAGAAAGGAAAUAAAACAGCAGCAGCAGAUGACCUGUUUGGAGAGGCUGACGACAUCUCUUCAGACAGCGAUGCAGAGAAGCCCCCGACCCCAGGACAGCCCCUGGAUACAGAGGAUGGGAUGGAGGGGGAUCAUGCAGAAGAAGAGCCUGCGCCUGAAACUCGUAUCGAAGUCGAGAUCCCCAAAGUCAGCACUGACCUGGGAUCUGAUCUAUACUUUGUUAAGCUGCCCAACUUCCUGUCUGUGGAGCCCAGACCCUUUGAUCCUCAGUACUAUGAGGAUGAGUUUGAGGAUGAAGAAAUGCUGGAUGAAGAGGGACGCACCAGACUCAAACUGAAGGUGGAGAAUACUAUUCGGUGGCGAGCCAAGAAAGACGAGGAGGGAAAUGAAACACGAGAGAGCAACGCACGCAUCGUAAAAUGGUCUGACGGCAGCAUGUCCCUCCACCUGGGAAAUGAAGUGUUUGAUGUUUACAAAGCUCCUCUCCAAGGAGACCACAACCACCUGUUCAUCCGGCAGGGUACUGGACUACAGGGACAGGCUGUGUUCAAAACCAAACUCACAUUCAGGCCCCACUCCACAGACAGCGCCACCCACAGGAAGAUGACCCUGUCUUUGGCCGACCGCUGCUCCAAGACACAGAAGAUCAGGAUCCUUCCCAUGGCCGGACGGGAUCCGGAGUCACAUCGUAACGAAAUGAUCAAGAAAGAGGAAGAGCGCCUGCGUGCGUCCAUCCGCAGAGAGUCCCAGCAGAGGAGGAUGAGGGAGAAGCAGCACCAGAGAGGCCUGAGCAGCAGCUACCUGGAGCCCGACCGCUACGAUGACGAGGAGGAAGGCGAGGAGGCAAUAAGCCUGGCAGCUAUCAAGAGCAAAUACAAGGGAGGAGGAGGCCUCAGAGAGGAGCGAGCGAGGAUCUACUCAUCAGACAGCGAUGAAGGCUCCGAUGAUGACAAGGCCCAGAGGCUGAUGAAAGCCAAGAAGCUUGACAGCGACGAGGAGGGUGAAGGAUCGGGCAAACGAAAGGCAGAGGACGAUGAGGAAAUGGCCACCAAGAAAGCCAAGAAAUAUGUCAUCAGUGACGAGGAGGAAGAGGAGGAGGAGGAGGAGGAAGAAGAUGAUGAUGAAUAAUUCACUUUUUUUUUUUUUCAGCAUUCCACUGUAUUAUCAGUGCUCAGCCCACAUGGCGUAUAAACAGCCAUUUUUUGUUUUGUAUAUUUUCUUAAGACCUGUGUGUGUGUGUGUGUGUGUGUGUGUGUGUGUGUGUGUGUGUGUGUGUGUGUGUGUGUCACAGCUGAGGUGAGAAAUAAAGAAGUGGUUGUCUUAUGUAACCAAAGCUUCCCAAAGCCCUCCCCC